AGAGUUUGAUCAUGGCUCAGGACGAACGCUGGCGGCGUGCUUAACACAUGCAAGUCGAACGGUGAAACUGGUGCUUGCACCAGUGGAUCAGUGGCGAACGGGUGAGUAACACGUGAGCAACCUACCCCUGACUUUGGAAUAACUCCGGGAAACCGGUGCUAAUACCAAAUACGACACGAACAGGCAUCUGUAUCGUGUGGAAAGAUUUAUCGGUUGGGGAUGGGCUCGCGGCCUAUCAGCUUGUUGGUGGGGUAAUGGCCUACCAAGGCGACGACGGGUAGCCGGCCUGAGAGGGCGACCGGCCACACUGGGACUGAGACACGGCCCAGACUCCUACGGGAGGCAGCAGUGGGGAAUAUUGCACAAUGGGCGAAAGCCUGAUGCAGCAACGCCGCGUGAGGGAUGACGGCCUUCGGGUUGUAAACCUCUUUCAGUAGGGAAGAAGCGAGAGUGACGGUACCUACAGAAGAAGCGCCGGCUAACUACGUGCCAGCAGCCGCGGUAAUACGUAGGGCGCAAGCGUUGUCCGGAAUUAUUGGGCGUAAAGAGCUCGUAGGCGGUUUGUCGCGUCUGCUGUGAAAACCCGAGGCUCAACCUCGGGCUUGCAGUGGGUACGGGCAGGCUAGAGUGUGGUAGGGGAGACUGGAAUUCCUGGUGUAGCGGUGGAAUGCGCAGAUAUCAGGAGGAACACCGAUGGCGAAGGCAGGUCUCUGGGCCACAACUGACGCUGAGGAGCGAAAGCAUGGGUAGCGAACAGGAUUAGAUACCCUGGUAGUCCAUGCCGUAAACGUUGGGCGCUAGGUGUGGGGCUCAUUCCACGAGUUCCGCGCCGUAGCUAACGCAUUAAGCGCCCCGCCUGGGGAGUACGGCCGCAAGGCUAAACUCAAAUGAAUUGACGG
rnacentral:rRNA from 1 species